rnacentral:tRNA from 1 species
GAGGGGAGAGCAACCAACAAGAACUGCUAACUCUUGCAUCUGAGUGUAAAAUCUCAGUCCCCUUA